rnacentral:piRNA from 1 species
UGCAGGAAUUUUUCCACUGCG